UGACCGCUGGCGGCGUGCCUAAUACAUGCAAGUCGAGCGAACGGACGAGAAGCUUGCUUCUCUGAUGUUAGCGGCGGACGGGUGAGUAACACGUGGAUAACCUACCUAUAAGACUGGGAUAACUUCGGGAAACCAGAGCUAAUACCGGAUAAUAUUUUGAACCGCAUGGUUCAAAAGUGAAAGACGGUCUUGCUGUCACUUAUAGAUGGAUCCGCGCUGCAUUAGCUAGUUGGUAAGGUAACGGCUUACCAAGGCAACGAUGCAUAGCCGACCUGAGAGGGUGAUCGGCCACACUGGAACUGAGACACGGUCCAGACUCCUACGGGAGGCAGCAGUAGGGAAUCUUCCGCAAUGGGCGAAAGCCUGACGGAGCAACGCCGCGUGAGUGAUGAAGGUCUUCGGAUCGUAAAACUCUGUUAUUAGGGAAGAACAUAUGUGUAAGUAACUGUGCACAUCUUGACGGUACCUAAUCAGAAAGCCACGGCUAACUACGUG
rnacentral:rRNA from 1 species